AGGGGGAGAGAGAGAGAGAGAGAGAGACUGCUGAGACUGCUGAACGAUCGAUCGAGGAGGCCGAGUUGCCUUCGAUCGCUAGCGGUAUCGGAGACGCUGACGACGUGGGCGUGAACUUGUCAACUCAGGAAGAAGAAGAAGAAGUACAUGGACGUCAAACAUAGUUCUCCGAAAGCGGCAGCUCUAAUCCACCUCUUCGAGCACGAAUAAGCGGCCUGCCUGCAGAGUCAAACAAAGGCGCUAGGAAGUUCCCGAAGGGCAGGAUAAAAUAGGAAAAUUAUGACGGCGCCGACUCCGAUUUAUAGUCUAGCCUACUACGUAACGGGCGGAUGCAUGGUGGCAUCACCAAAAGGCUGCUGCUGGGUGUCUUAUCAUGGCAUGAUGACGGAAAAGUAAACCGUGUUCCGCCCGCUCCGCGGUUUUCAUACGGUUAACCCGGCGCGUAAUGCGGUUCAACGUGCGAGAACAAGACUACAGCUAACCGGGGGAAUACAUGAUGCUCGGCUCGAACAACGGCUCCCCUAUUCACAAACGAACGAAGGAGGGAAAGCAGGGAGGUGACAAGCGAAUGAUCGAACCCAAGCCGGCACCACGCACGUCUCUUCUUCGUCGUCGUCUUCGUCUUAAUAAUCUCCGCGUUUCCGAACGCACGCCAGAGUUCCUUGGGGCUUUUUCCGGCUCUUCUUUUCUUCUAUUUUCCAUCAACUCAUCAGAACGUGCGCAGGUACCCAACGCCGAAUAGCUGCGGCCUGUUGCUGCCGCCCCCGCCGCGCGCCUCCUUCGUCCCCUCGCACCCCCUGCAGCAGCAGAAGGAGGGCCCCGAGGCCCGCGGGUACCCGCACCUGAACAGGGUCCGCGAGCGCCCCGCGGACCUGUUCCCGCGGCACCUCUCCGACAGCCGGGACUCUCGCGCGCAGCAGCUGUACCGUUACGUUCUUAGCCGCCACCGGGACUUCGGGUCCGCCUUCCGGCGGCGUGCCGUUCCUAGAUCGUGACGGUUAGAGAACGUCCGCGACCUUCUGAUGAACGGUGAAGACGAUCCUAACCACUUUCUUCCACCACUCAACUCCGUGUCGCACGUCAAACACACCUGAUUGGUUCUCCUGUUCCGGCUCCUCUGCCGGUACCGCCUACGUACCAUGCUCCACGACAGGCACGACGUAAACUACCGGUACCAGACGAACGACGUCCGGUUGAGGGACGAGGAAGGUUCCCGAAUGCCGCUACCAAUGCCCGGUGCCCAGAGACUUCUCUCGUCUGCACGGUGACAGCUGCAAAAGAACUUUCGUAGACCGAUGAACCUGACGCGUUAAGCUGUUCACGAGGGUGUCUAUGGUAGUCUUGAUUCCUCUGUUGAAGGUCAUCUGGACCGACUUCCGUUGGAGUUUCGAGAAUCGGACGUUCGAGAGCCAGUCCCACAACUGUACGUCGAACCCGACCGUUAGCUAUCGGGUUUCCGGUGUGAUCGACAUUUUUCCGCGAAUCGAACACUCUACCAGUUUAUAACCGUGGUCCAAGUCCUCUCGUAAGGUCUAGAAGGACACAGGCUGCCUACCCCCUUUUUUGUAGAUGAUAAACAGUUUACCUUCAUGCAGCUUCGCUUCAGACGUCGUAUGAUGAAGGUACCAAACUAAGAACUGCUUCCUUUGUCACUCUUUAGAGUGCCUUACCGUUAUCGUCGUAACCUUCGAAGCCUCCUUAAAGACUUUCUUUCGUUUUCCCGGAGACUUCAAAAGGUACGUUGAGGAGGUUGUAGAUCCUCGGGGUGAGGUAAACCUUGUCGAUUCAUAGACAAACUGUUCUAGGGCUUUCUCCGAAGUUCGUUCCAGGCCUAGUUGGUCCUGGAUAUAUGGGGUCUUUCCCAGUAACCUCGUGGUGGGGGCAACGGCCUAAAGAGCAACCGUGAUUGUGGACUUCUGAUACUAGAAGGAGGUAAUCUGGGUGAAACCUUGUUUCUUCUGCCGGUGGUCAUUCACAUGUAAGUCGUAAGUCGUUCUCACAGAAGACUACCCUUCCGAGACCGCGAUGACUCUUUCGUUGCUGGUCCUAAGACGGUACGCCUCCGGCCUGUGCUGCGUUUCCUUCACAUGUUUCUAUACAAGGCUGUUUUUUUUAAACUACAGCCGUUUGACCUUCGUUUAAAAUCUUUCCGGACUUCUAUAGACUUCUCGUAAAAAUGUCAAUUUAGAAGAGACUGUUACCUUUGUGUAACAGUUUUCGAACGAAAGGUUGUUAAGGACAUUUUUAAUAUAAAGGUUACUCGCGGUACCAAGGAAAAAGAAUCCUAAAAGACUUGUACCGAAUCAAAACCCCGGUAAGACUCGGAUAAUUACACCAUUUAAACGGUUUGUACUAGGACUAGAAGUAAGUUACGAACUCUGUCUUCGUCGUUGCUACUUUAAAUUUGAUGAGUUG
rnacentral:rRNA from 1 species